rnacentral:rRNA from 1 species
AGCGAACGCUGGCGGCAGGCUUAACACAUGCAAGUCGAACGCAUCCUUCGGGGUGAGUGGCAGACGGGUGAGUAACACGUGGGAACAUACCUUUUGGUUCGGAAUAACUCAUGGAAACGUGAGCUAAUACCGGAUACGCCCUUUUGGGGAAAGAUUUAUUGCCGAAAGAUUGGCCCGCGUCUGAUUAGCUAGUUGGUGAGGUAAUGGCUCUCCAAGGCGACGAUCAGUAGCUGGUCUGAGAGGAUGAUCAGCCACACUGGGACUGAGACACGGCCCAGACUCCUACGGGAGGCAGCAGUGGGGAAUAUUGGACAAUGGGCGCAAGCCUGAUCCAGCCAUGCCGCGUGAGUGAUGAAGGCCUUAGGGUCGUAAAGCUCUUUUAUCCGGGAAGAUAAUGACUGUACCGGAAGAAUAAGCCCCGGCUAACUUCGUGCCAGCAGCCGCCGUAA